AAGAGACAUUGAAUGUUAAGAGCUCCAUGGGAUGUUCUGUGGGAGCUUGGAAGAUACGAACCUUGAGAGAAGGGCAUGGAGACCUGGCUUGUGAAGUUUCAGAGGGAAGUUAAAGACUUUAUCAGGGCCGUUUGUUCUUUUUGAAUUAAGAUCCCAUGGUUCUGGUUAGCUGGGGCUGAAGAAUCAGCCGUGAUUAACAAGGUACCAGAACUACUAAAGUGAAACUUUGCUUUGCUGGGAUACUUGAUGCUGGUUGGCUGGAGCUAAGAAAUUAGUGUUGAUUAAGAUGAGACCAGCCAUCACUGAAGUGAAAUCUUCUGGGAAGCAUUUUCUGAGAGCACAGAGAAGCUACAUUCCAGAGACAGCUGCACGUUGUACCUCGUGCGGGCAGCUGGACCUGGUAAUGUGUGAGAGUCACCCAGGCGGUGCUGGUUUUGAAGGCGUGAAGGGGUCAUGGGGAGCAGCUGAGGCUUGGCACUAUGAGAGACUCUUGGUGAAGGUGCAGGCUUAGUGGCAGUUGAAGGUCCAGGAUUGAAGGGGUCACACAGAAAAGUAGAGGUGUGGCAUCACGAAGAGAGAUGGGCUUGGUGAAAGCGCAGCCCAGUUGCAGCAGAAGACCGGAAGUGUUUUGGAGAUGCCAGUGCCCUGGGAUGACCACCAAGAGCAGCAGCAGUGGAGAGGAGCCAAGAGGACAAGCUGUGUGUGCUGCAGAGGGCAGAGAUAGAGGAGUAACGCAAGCCUGUUGGAGGUGUUCUGAAGAUCGAAAACCCAUCUCCAAAGAGCAAAAGGACACUGAAUAUUCGGAUGCCUAAAGAAGAGAGGAUAACUAUCCAAAAAGAACCAUCAAGCAAAGGAGAAUCUGACAUGUGGAAAACUCUUGAAUUAUUUCUAUAUGAAACCUGUUUCUCUUUACUUUCAAGCACUCUUUUAGUCCCAACUCACUCAAACCAAUCCUGGAUUUGGAGCUGGAUUUGGCUCUCCUCCUCUCCUCCAAGCAUGUUGUUAAAAUAAAACUCAGAGUUUCUGUAUUAUAUCAAGAAGCCAAUUGAUACAAGACAGAAGAAAACAAAAUCUAGGGACUGUCGUUUGUCUAAACUCGGUUCUUUCCCCGAAAGCCUAAUAUACGUCACAUUUAUUAUUUUC